UAAAAAUCCGCUGCUUCCAUGAACCGCAUCAGCCCCUCGGUUUAUAAAAAUAAAAGCACGUUAUUGUGUCUGGCUCUGAGGAUUUAAAACCCUGAGCUGUGUGAGGACAUGAAAACCAAGACAUCCACGGCUGGAGGGAUGUCAGAGGUCCAUGUGAAGAAAGAGGAGACACUGGAGCUGAAAAUCUACAACCAUAGAGAUGACCUCGACAACCCACCUGAAGGUCUCUCUGUUAAAGUGGAAGAUCCUGACAAUAAAGACUACCUCUACUGCGAAUUUUGCAAAUCCUUCUUCCUCAACAAAUGUGAGGUUCAUUGACCGCCCCUCUUCAUCCC